rnacentral:lncRNA from 10 species
CUCGGUUGCAGGCGUUAGGCUCCCAGCGGCUCUCAGCCGUUAAGUGGAGAAUGUUCAGGACUGUCGAGGCGCGCUCCGCACCUGGCCUGAAAGCGGGAGAUUUGGCAACCAGUGCGCGUGGGUGCGCCGGCCCUUGCAGCUGGGGACUCUGGAGGCAGACCUUGCCCAAAGCCAGAGGCAGGAACUCCCCAGAUCCUCCCAGGGUAGCAUGGGAGGAUGCCGCCUCCUCCAGGAAGCUCUCUAGCGCUUUUCCGAGUCCUGGAGCCAGGCGGGACUUCUCUGUGGUCGCCUAGAAGGGUAUGAACUUAGGGCAUCCCCAUCUGGGCUGUGAAGGUUUCUGACUUGGGGACCAGGUGCUCAGACCUUCCUGGAUGCUGCUUUCCACAAUAUCUCUACCAGGCAGGCAGGUUCUCUUCAUUUUGCAAAUUUGGUGAAACAGCAUUUGUAAAACUUUAGAAGCUUCCUUGGCUCACACAGGUGGUAGUGGCCCUGUCAGGAUUUGACCCAGGCUCUCGGAUUCCAGAGUUCCUGAAUUUAACCACCUGUACUGUGAUGCCUCCUUAUCAUGUGUGCAUCGUGCAUUACUAUUUUUUAUAGCCUGUAGGGUACUGAGCACCAUGCACACCUACAGUGAUCACAGGCACUGCCUACUGGAAGGUCUUCUUUGGCUGGGUUCCAGUUUCCUCAGACGAUGUAGGGCAGGGAGUUCCACUUGUUAGCAUAUCCCACAGGGCCUUUCUCUUCAAAUGGACCCCAGCAGCCAACCACACAGCUGCCUCAGCAAGCGUAGGAGAUGGCACAUCAGAGACCAACAAUUGUCAGCACAGCAAAACUGGGCAUUUCUUUUCUUACUGAGCUUUGCAGCUACCUACACAGUUGUGUGUGGCAUCUCCUCCUGGGUGCAAGGACAUGAGAUGACAUCAGGUGGGUGCAGGAUCUAUCCUGGCUUAAAAGCCUA